GAUUAAGUUAUUAAGGGCGCACGGUGGAUGCCUUGGCACUAGAAGCCGACGAAGGACGUUACUAACGACGAUAUGCUUUGGGGAGCUGUAAGUAAGCUUUGAUCCAGAGAUUUCCGAAUGGGGAAACCCAGCACGAGUUAUGUCGUGUUAUCGAUAUGUGAAUACAUAGCAUAUCUGAAGGCAGACGCGGAGAACUGAAACAUCUUAGUACCCGCAGGAAGAGAAAGAAAAAUCGAUUCCCUGAGUAGCGGCGAGCGAAACGGGAAGAGCCCAAACCAACGAGCUUGCUUGUUGGGGUUGUAGGACACUCUAUACGGAGUUACAAAAGAACAGACUAGACGAAUCAUCUGGAAAGAUGAAUCAAAGAAGGUAAUAAUCCUGUAGUCGAAAGUUUGUUCACUCUUGAGUGGAUCCUGAGUACGACGGAACACGAGAAAUUCCGUCGGAAUCUGGGAGGACCAUCUCCCAAGGCUAAAUACUCUCUAGUGACCGAUAGUGAACCAGUACCGUGAGGGAAAGGUGAAAAGUACCCGGAAGGGGAGUGAAAUAGAACUUGAAACCGUGUGCUUACAAGUAGUCAGAGCCCGUUAAUGGGUGAUGGCGUGCCUUUUGUAGAAUGAACCGGCGAGUUACGAUUUGAUGCAAGGUUAAGCAGUGAAUGUGGAGCCGUAGCGAAAGCGAGUCUGAAUAGGGCGUUGAGUAUUUGGUCGUAGACCCGAAACCAGGUGAUCUACCCAUGACCAGGUUGAAGUUCAGGUAACACUGAAUGGAGGACCGAACCGACUUACGUUGAAAAGUGAGCGGAUGAGUUGUGGGUAGCGGAGAAAUUCCAAUCGAACCUGGAGAUAGCUGGUUCUCUCCGAAAUAGCUUUAGGGCUAGCCUCAAGUGAUGAUUAUUGGAGGUAGAGCACUGUUUGGACGAGGGGCCCUUAUCGGGUUACCGAAUUCAGACAAACUCCGAAUGCCAAUCAAUUUAACUUGGGAGUCAGAACGCGGGUGAUAAGGUCCGUGUUCGAAAGGGAAACAGCCCAGACCACCAGCUAAGGUCCCAAAAUAUAUGUUAAGUGGAAAAGGAUGUGGCGUUGCCCAGACAACUAGGAUGUUGGCUUAGAAGCAGCCAUCAUUUAAAGAGUGCGUAAUAGCUCACUAGUCGAGUGACACUGCGCCGAAAAUGUACCGGGGCUAAACAUAUUACCGAAGCUGUGGAUUGUCCGUAAGGACAAUGGUAGGAGAGCGUUCUAAGGGCGUUGAAGCAUGAUCGCAAGGACAUGUGGAGCGCUUAGAAGUGAGAAUGCCGGUGUGAGUAGCGAAAGACGGGUGAGAAUCCCGUCCACCGAUUGACUAAGGUUUCCAGAGGAAGGCUCGUCCGCUCUGGGUUAGUCGGGUCCUAAGCUGAGGCCGAUAGGCGUAGGCGAUGGAUAACAGGUUGAUAUUCCUGUACCACCAUUAUUCGUUUUAAGCGAUGGGGGACGCAGUAGGAUAGGCGAAGCGUACGAUUGGAUUGUACGUCCAAGCAGUGAGAUUGAGUGUUAGGCAAAUCCGGCACUCUUAAGAUUGAGCUGUGAUGGGGAGAGGAAAUUGUUUCCUCGAGUCGUUGAUUUCACACUGCCAAGAAAAGCCUCUAGCUAGAAUUGUGGUGCCCGUACCGCAAACCGACACAGGUAGUCAAGAUGAGAAUUCUAAGGUGAGCGAGCGAACUCUCGUUAAGGAACUCGGCAAAAUGACCCCGUAACUUCGGGAGAAGGGGUGCUCUUUAGGGUUAACGCCCAGGAGAGCCGCAGUGAAUAGGCCCAAGCGACUGUUUAUCAAAAACACAGGUCUCUGCUAAACCGUAAGGUGAUGUAUAGGGGCUGACGCCUGCCCGGUGCUGGAAGGUUAAGAGGAGUGGUUAGCUUCUGCGAAGCUACGAAUCGAAGCCCCAGUAAACGGCGGCCGUAACUAUAACGGUCCUAAGGUAGCGAAAUUCCUUGUCGGGUAAGUUCCGACCCGCACGAAAGGCGUAACGAUUUGGGCACUGUCUCAACGAGAGACUCGGUGAAAUCAUAGUACCUGUGAAGAUGCAGGUUACCCGCGACAGGACGGAAAGACCCCGUGGAGCUUUACUGUAGUCUGAUAUUGAAAUUCGGCACAGCUUGUACAGGAUAGGUAGGAGCCUGAGAUACGUGAGCGCUAGCUUACGUGGAGGCGUUGGUGGGAUACUACCCUCGCUGUGUUGGAUUUCUAACCCGCACCAUUUAUCAUGGUGGGAGACAGUGUCAGAUGGGCAGUUUGACUGGGGCGGUCGCCUCCUAAAGAGUAACGGAGGCGCUCAAAGGUUUCCUCAGAAUGGUUGGAAAUCAUUCAUAGAGUGUAAAGGCAUAAGGAAGCUUGACUGCGAGACUUACAAGUCGAGCAGGGUCGAAAGACGGACUUAGUGAUCCGGUGGUUCCGCAUGGAAGGGCCAUCGCUCAACGGAUAAAAGCUACCCCGGGGAUAACAGGCUUAUCUCCCCAAGAGUUCACAUCGACGGGGAGGUUUGGCACCUCGAUGUCGGCUCAUCGCAUCCUGGGGCUGUAGUCGGUCCCAAGGGUUGGGCUGUUCGCCCAUUAAAGCGGUACGCGAGCUGGGUUCAGAACGUCGUGAGACAGUUCGGUCCCUAUCCGUCGUGGGCGUAGGAAAUUUGAGAGGAGCUGUCCUUAGUACGAGAGGACCGGGAUGGACAUACCUCUGGUGUACCAGUUGUCGUGCCAACGGCAUCGCUGGGUAGCUAUGUAUGGACGGGAUAAGUGCUGAAAGCAUCUAAGCAUGAAGCCCCCCUCAAGAUGAGAUUUCCCAACUUCGGUUAUAAGAUCCCUCAAAGAUGAUGAGGUUAAUAGGUUCGAGGUGGAAGCAUAGCGAUAUGUGCAGCUGACGAAUACUAAUCGAUCGAAGACUUAAUCAA
rnacentral:rRNA from 1 species